rnacentral:rRNA from 1 species
UACAGAGGUCCCAAGCGUUGUUCGGAUUCACUGGGCGUAAAGGGUGCGUAGGUGGUCGGGUAAGUCUGAUGUGAAAUCUCUGGGCUCAACCCAGAAAUGGCAUUGGAUACUAUUCGGCUAGAGGAGUGGAGGGGGGACUGGAAUACUUGGUGUAGCAGUGAAAUGCGUAGAUACCAAGUGGAACACCAGUGGCGAAGGCGAGUCCCUGGACACUUCCUGACACUGAGGCACGAAAGCUAGGGGAGCAAACAGG